rnacentral:lncRNA from 1 species
AAAAUACUAAAAUACUAAAACAAAGGAUAAUAAGAUCAUCAAGUUCUAAAAACUAUCAUUGUUAAACUAUCAUUUUUGUUUUAAAACAAAGGAUAAUAAGAUCACCAUCAAGUACAUCCUGCACUUAAGCACAUGUUGAGGUUGGAAGUGAUUCACAUCCAACAUGUCCCCUACUGUGAGAAUGAAUAGCAUCUGCACAUAGACAAUAUUGUCAAAGUUUACAAGCUCACUUCAAACCUUCGACUCUAAACCACAUAAAAGCCUCAUCCCCCAAUCUCCAAGAAAAAUAGCACUUACAUCAACCAUUAAUCAAUCACUAACACCCUUGGAGGAGUACUAAUUCAGAAGUAUUCCAGAUAAUGCAGGAGGUAGUCUAUCUGAUUGUAACCCUUCAAACCGUACUUAACGACGAUUAGAAAACCAAAACUGGUCACAACCUAUCCACUGGAGCAAACUUCAUCGCCACUGCACUGCGUGUGCAAAUCACACAGUUCUGCGAAUAACACAACAGCCUACAUCCUCUCGAACAUGUCAACGUGCAAUUCCUUACAACCAAAUCUUAUAAUCGAACCUUCGAAACGUGUACACACGAUAUACAACAGUGAUCGUAGUCGGUGACACACUUCUCCACCUAGCCCACGACGUCAACACUGGCCUCCAGCAAAGUUAAUCAUCGCCAACACAAAGAUUAAAAAAAGAAAAAAAAAAGAGGUGAAACUCCAAAGGACCGAUACAGGUAGAAACCGAAAGCUGAGGACCGGGAGAAACACCGAGCACAGAGCUGAGUGAACCCUCCCCAUUCACCCAAGUAUGUGAACUUGCAAAUCAGGCCUAGGUGCAAAUCCUUACCGACACAUGCACUCAACCAAAGCAACUGUUCAUCCAAACCCCCCAAGCAAACUUACUUGUCGUUUCAAACUGCGCACCACGUCGGCCUUAACUAUUUUAUCCUCAACCACUUGUCCUCGCACAGUAAUCCACUCACGGUUCAAUCCGUUCAGCAACGGUGGUAGUACUCAUUUGUGGAGUGUGCAAGAGAACUUUGCAUCUAAGUCCAACAAGGGAUCCUUGUGCACAGCGGGAUAGGCUAAUACAUAUGAAGAUGAUAGAAAGAGGUCUGUCAGAGCCACUUAAACCUCGCGAAUCAGGCGAUGACGACAACGAGACGACGCAAGAAAAGUUCGCCAAAUGGUGGACAUGGACGAGACCCUUGAUUAUGAGGAUGAGGAAGAUGAGUAUGACAGAGUAGCAGCUGGAACAAUAAUGGGUACGAACGAUGGAUUGUUCAUGAAUCGGAUUGGGAGUUGCAGUGCCGGUUGGCAGCAGUCAAAUCCUCUGUCAACUUCUUUCGCUGACUGGCGCCAGCCAUAUCUUCGGUACUGCAGUACUAAUGAUGAAGCUAUCCUUGCACGACUCCAGGAUGAUCGUGAAGCUACUAUAAGAGCUACGAACAAAGUAUUAGAAUUAGGUGAAUUAGGUCCUGGAGGAGGAUUCUAACGUGGUUGCAUAGCUGCCAGUCAGACAGGACAAUGAAGGAGAAGCCAUGGACAUCGACGCGAAUGAACACCAUGACCAGGCUCCGGCAGAAGUCACAGCAGAAGCUGGGUCUGAAGUAUCUGGUAGCUCAGAGACCACUGAAGGUAAUGAUGGUGAACGGAAAUGAAGAGCAGGAGAAUCUGUAAGAUAUGCAACGGAAGAAACUGUGGGAGCAGAGUCCAAAGCGGGAGGAUCUGAUGUUCAGGAACCUCU